rnacentral:tRNA from 1 species
CAGGCUAAAUCUUAAUAGUUAAGAAUCUUAUUUACAUUAAGUUAUUAUUGUGCAAUUCAAUUUAGUUUGA